GUAACCCUACGGGAGGCAGCAGUGGGGAAUAUUGCACAAUGGGGGAAACCCUGAUGCAGCAACGCCGCGUGAAGGAAGACGGUUUUCGGAUUGUAAACUUCUGUUCUUAGUGAAGAAUAAUGACGGUAGCUAAGGAGCAAGCCACGGCUAACUACGUGCCAGCAGCCGUGGUAAUACGUAGGUGGCAAGCGUUGUCCGGAAUUACUGGGUGUAAAGGGAGCGCAGGCGGGAAGCCAAGUCAGCUGUGAACACUACGGGCUUAAGUGGGAGACUGCAGUUGAA
rnacentral:rRNA from 1 species